CCUCAGUUGGUGGUGCUUUUAGGGCAGGUUAUGGAACUGUUGGGAAGCACAGUCCACUCCUGCCACUAGCUGCCGUGACUCCCUGCCAUGAUGGACUCUCUAUCCCUCCGGAGCUACUGGGUGGGCUCACCCCACCCCCACACUGAGGUGACUGUCCGUGGAGACCUUGGAAGCAGGGAUCACGGAGACUCACAAGAAACCAACAGAUGGAGGUGCUCAGAGGGAUGUGAAAUCAGAGCGUUAUUUUCUGAAACGAAGAUGCCGGCCGGGGAAAGGGUGUUUGGAAAGCCCAAGCUGCCCAUCCUACCAUAACUGAAAGGUGUUUCUGUAUCAUGGGGAGAGAGGAAUUUUUGCAUGCCUUUACAUAAAUAACCUUUAAUUCGGUUUGGAGAGUCGCCCUCAGAAAAGACCUCAGUCAUUCUGGCAAGUGGAUUUCCUUCUAGGAUACAGAAGCCCAGAGCAGGGACAGUUAUUGGAGGAGUUGGGCCAGGAAAUACGAUAGAGAAGUUUUAAAAAACCCAGCCUGUCGUUUUGGCAAACUCUUCCCCUGCCCAGAUUUUAUGGCUUUAAAUUGAUACGUGUUGGGUGAAUUGGGUCUGACAGUCUCCCGGCUGUACAUAUUGAUACCCUCUCUCCCUUGCUUAUGUGGGGUGACUUUGAGAGAGUUAUGCAAAGUUUUUGCCCAACCCCGAAUGCACAUCCUCAUCUAUAUGACAGGGAGAGCAGCCAAACAAGGCCUUUGGUGCUUGGUAAGAGUCACCAUAAUCACAAUGGGACCCUGUCUGCCUUCUGUUUGCUCUCUCUCAAAACAGAUGUUUUAAUGGUUAGCAUCUAUUGUCAUCUGGAGAGGACAUAGGGGACACACCUCUGGGCACACCUGUGAGGGAUUAUCUAGGUUAGGUUAACUGAAGUGAGAAGACCCACCUUAACAAUGGAGGCACCGUUCAACGGGCUGAGGUCCUGCCUUAAUUAAAAAGAAGAAGUUGUGACUGGCAUCCGUCCCUCUCUGCUUCCUAACUGCUGACACAGUGACUAGUCAGUCUCCUCUUCAGCCACUGAUCCCCCCCUCACGAUGGAGUUUGUCCUGGCCAACUGCAAGCCAGAAUAAGAAGUCUUUCCUUCUUCAAAGUGCUUCUCGUCGGGCAUUUGUCAUGGCAACAAGAAAGAAGUUCACACAGAUAGUCAGGUGUCAAGAACUGGGAAGUGUUGGAAAGAAGGGAAAUGAAGGAGUUGAGGACAGGAGAAGAGGAAGCAGAGAGGAGGCUGGGACUGAGCCACGGAAGCAGCAGCAGCAGAGACACAGCAAAGCAGCCCGCACGGGAGCAGGAGCUGUUUGAAACUGAGAUGGCAUGAAGAAUAAGAACUACAGAGUGUUUAACAAGAUCACCCCAAAUCUUCAAUUUAUCUAUUUCCAAUAAGGAAGACUUUAUUGCUCACUUGUGGCCUCUUGAUAAACUCAACCUUUAUCUUCUGAAGAUAAAUCUGAAUAUUAUCAUUAUGGUUGUGACUUACUGGGUAUUUAUAACCCCCAGGCUCAUCUCACUGCCACAUUAUGUUUGCACUGGGGAAAUACUAUUUUUUUCGUAGUGGAUCUAAGUAGUGUAAACGCAUUUGUAUUAACAGUAAAAAUAUGGCUGAACUAAUUAGUCAAAUAGGACUCGUCACUCAAAGGAGUCUCAUUACACAUUAUUGUAAUAAAUAUUUCCCAGUGACUCUGUGGUUUUGAAUUGGUUGAGAAACACAGUACGGACAGAUGCCAGUAUAGGAAAAUAAAUUAU